rnacentral:rRNA from 1 species
AUUGAACGCUGGCGGCAGGCCUAACACAUGCAAGUCGAGCGAGCGGCGCAGGGGAGAGUAAUGUAUGGGGAUCUGCCUGAUAGAGGGGGAUAACUACUGGAAACUGUGGCUAAUACCGCAUACUAUCGGCUGAACCCAUAUGGUAUUAGCUGGUAGGUGGGGUAAAGGCUCACCGAGGCGACGAUCCCUAGCUGGUCUGAGAGGAUGAACAGCCACACGGGAACUGAGACACGGUCCAGACUCCUACGGGAGGCAGCAGUGGGGAAUAUUGCACAAUGGGCGCAAGCCUGAUGCAGCCAUGCCGCGUGUAUGAAGAAGGCCUUAGGGUUGUAAAGUACUUUCAGCGGGGAGGCGUUACCCGCAGAAGAAGCACCGGCUAACUCCGUGCCAGCAGCCGCGGUAAUAC